AAAGACCUGGUUGCCUCCCUAAUUAUUUAUCUUCUCAUUUUGUUAGUGACUCAAAAUUGUUUGUUUAUAGUUCUUAGUCAUUCUCACUCUACUAUUUCAUAAACCGAUCUGAGCGGAAAUUUUUUUUAUUAUCACAUCAUAAGCCUUAUAUGUGAUCUAUAUGAUACGUGUACAAAUGAGCAUCUUUGAAUAAUGUAAUAAAAUUAAAUAAUUAACAAUCCAUAUCAUUAUUUGUAUUAUUUGUACUGUAUUGAAACUUACAAAGUUUUCUUUUUGAAAAUACAAGAAAUUCUACCAGGGCCUGGAUAUUACUUUGUAAUAUCUUUUCAUUUUUUUAAUUGACAUAGACCCAAGUCCUAUAUUAAAAUAAAAUGAGGAUGAUGCGUCGUGAAUGGUCGGGAUAGCUCAGCUGGUAGAGCAGAGGACUGAAAAUCCUCGUGUCACCAGU
rnacentral:tRNA from 1 species